UUGAACGCUGGCGGCAUGCUUUACACAUGCAAGUCGAACGGCAGCGGGGGCUUCGGCCCGCCGGCGAGUGGCGAACGGGUGAGUAAUGCAUCGGAACGUACCCAGUCGUGGGGGAUAACUACGCGAAAGCGUAGCUAAUACCGCAUACGCCCUGAGGGGGAAAGCGGGGGACCUUCGGGCCUCGCGCGAUUGGAGCGGCUGAUGUCGGAUUAGCUAGUUGGUGGGGUAAAGGCCUACCAAGGCGACGAUCCGUAGCUGGUCUGAGAGGAUGAUCAGCCACACUGGGACUGAGACACGGCCCAGACUCCUACGGGAGGCAGCAGUGGGGAAUUUUGGACAAUGGGCGCAAGCCUGAUCCAGCCAUUCCGCGUGAGUGAAGAAGGCCUUCGGGUUGUAAAGCUCUUUCGGCCGGGACGAAAUCGCACGGGUCAAUACCCUGUGUGGAUGACGGUACUGGAAGAAGAAGCACCGGCUAACUACGU
rnacentral:rRNA from 1 species